GGUGUCCAAACGCAAGCAACUCC
rnacentral:siRNA from 1 species